rnacentral:tRNA from 1 species
CGCAGAGUAGAGAAGUGGCCUAUCUCGCGACCCUCAUAAGGUCGAAAUCGCAGGUUCGAAUCCUGCCUCUGCAC